GCUGAUGUAGCUUAAUUAAAGCAUAACACUGAAGAUGUUAAGACGGGCUUAACUAACCCCAUGAGCA
rnacentral:tRNA from 1 species